UACAACAAUGCUUGUGUGUCUGUUCACAAUAUUCUGAUCUUUUUUUGCCUUUACAUGUUGAUUCUUACAUAAGAAUGUAUCUAUGAAAUUUGGAAACUUUUUAUAUGCUUCUAUAACAAUUCUGUAGCUCUUAGGACAGGUUGGUAGUGCCAGUAAUGUAACAAGUUGUGAAAGUUGAAGGUUUUGAAAAUUAAUGAGUUUCUUUGGUAAAUUUCAUUACUUACAAUUUGUACUGUAAUCUUUUUACAGGAGGCACAACAGAAUCGUCCUGUUUCUUAUCGUGAAGUGUAUAACAAAGUUCACAAAAAAAAUGAUGGUGAAUUUGUCUCAACUAGGGCAAAGAAAUUUAUUGAAACAUAUGAAGAAUCAAUGACACAAAAAUAUGGAGAAGACACUUAAUCUCGUCCUGUAAUUGAUUCUGAUCUUUGGUAAAAAGCUGCAAGUAAAAACAAGAAGAAAAGAGUGCAUGGCAUGGGACAUAGCUUGGAUCUUGGAACUAGUAGCUCUACCCAAGCUUCAUCUCCAGAGGUUACAGGUUCUUCUACAAAUCUUACGCCUAUGACAGAAGAACAGGUCACUACAGUUAUAAAUAAUGCAUUGGCCUCUUUUUUGCAAACACAAUUACCAGAGAUGAUGAAGCAAAUAAUUCAUGCAGUUCAACCAUCAACAACACUAUCAACCAACCAACAUAGGGAGGAUCAAGGACGAGAUGAUGAUUUUACUAGCUUAGGUUGAUUACUAUUUAGGAUGACUCGUUAUUUGACUUUUUUUUUGUAAGACAUUAAUUAGUUUGGGUUUCUUUAAGAUAGUAUGUACAAGUUGAAUUUUGUAAGACAUUUAACAAUUUGGUUUUGUAAGAGAUAUUGUUACAUG